AUGCAAAGGCUCCCUUUAAACAAGAGCUUAGCGCUGCAGUGUUGUUUGCAGGGCAGCAGCUGUGUGACAGUCGCUGGAGGACGGGGUGUUACAGCUAAAUUGAUACGAGGUGAUGCUGGGAGUGGAGCCAUCAGAUGUGAAAGCAAAGCGUCUCGGGGACUGUGCAGCAAACCACUGUGGAAUGAAGACCCAAUUCGUACAAGUAAAGGAUGGAAGGCAACCCAGGGCAGGCAGCCCCUACCACCUUUACACUGGAGGCACCCAAGCCCUGGAACCUGGAACCCACUCAACCAUGGUGAGUCCUGCCUGGGGGUAGCUGGGACUUCAGAGGGAGGGGCUGUCUGGGGGGAUGCUGCAGUGGCAAAAGAGACACCGUCACGGCCCAUCAAAUGCCAGCUAGAGCUGAGAGGGAGAUGGAAAAUACUUUUCUUUCUUUCUUCUAGUCUCCCCCGGGGCCUCCCAGUGGCCAAACUUUGCCAGAGCCAGUUCUUAAGGGAGUCUGGGGAAUGCUGA
rnacentral:lncRNA from 1 species